CAGUCGCCGCGGUAAUACGUAGGUGGCAAGCGUUGUCCGGAAUUAUUGGGCGUAAAGGGCUCGCAGGCGGUUUCUUAAGUCUGACGUGAAAGCCCCCGGCUCAACCGGGGAGGGUCAUUGGAAACUGGGAAACUUGAGUGCAGAAGAGGAGAGUGGAAUUCCACGUGUAGCGGUGAAAUGCGUAGAGAUGUGGAGGAACACCAGUGGCGAAGGCGACUCUCUGGUCUGUAACUGACGCUGAGGAGCGAAAGCGUGGGGAGCGAACAGGAUUAGAUACCCCUGUAGUCCCUGUCUCUUAUAC
rnacentral:rRNA from 1 species